AUAAGCGGAGGAAAAGAAACCAACAGGGAUUGCCUUAGUAGCGGCGAGUGAAGCGGCAAUAGCUCAAAUUUGAAAUCUGGCACUUUCAGUGUCCGAGUUGUAAUUUGAAGAAGGUAUCUUUGGGUCUAGCUCUGUCUAUGUUUCUUGGAACAGAACGUCACAGAGGGUGAGAAUCCCGUGCGAUGAGAUGUCUAGAUCUAUGUAAAGUUCCUUCGAAGAGUCGAGUUGUUUGGGAAUGCAGCUCUAAGUGGGUGGUAAAUUCCAUCUAAAGCUAAAUAUUGGCGAGAGACCGAUAGCGAACAAGUACAGUGAUGGAAAGAUGAAAAGAACUUUGAAAAGAGAGUGAAAAAGUACGUGAAAUUGUUGAAAGGGAAGGGCUUGAGAUCAGACUUGGUAUUUUGUAUGUUACUCUCUCGGGGGUGGCCUCUACAGUUUACCGGGCCAGCAUCAGUUUGAGCGGUAGGAGAAUUGCGUAGGAAUGUGGCUCGGCCUCGGUCGAGUGUUAUAGCCUUCGUCGAUACUGCCAGCUUAGACUGAGGACUGCGGCUUCGGCCUA
rnacentral:rRNA from 1 species